AACACAACAGCUCAACGGUUCUUCCCUUUCAAAGUACUACUGUUCACAUACUUGCAUGUUUGGGCUGCUUUGAAAACAAGUCUUCUCUUCCAGUGACUUUUUACCAUUUCUCUCCUGGGUCUUCUUCACAUGGUGACUUUCAUACCGCCUUCACCACUCUGGAUCUUUUGGGUCUCCAAUUUUGUUGUUUGAGUAACCUCUACUACACGCAGGCAAGGUUUACCCAUCCAUGCCAAUGAAAUUAAUAGGACCAAGCUGGUUGCUUGUUUCCAACGAAUACCAAGGAGUCAUACAUAUAUAUAUUGCCACCGCAUUAAGAUUUUUGUGGAAACAAGAUGCACCAGAACUUGUAAUCAGAUCUAUCAUACAUACGUAUAUCUGCUAGGGUUCAUCACGCAUGGUAUCAGAGGAAUUUGGAAUGCAGCACAUCUUUUUCAAGAGAAUUGGAUUUCUGAAUAUUGAUGUGUACUUGUACGUUCCCAUUUUGGAAGGUAGAAAGAUUGUUUCCAGAGAACAGUGGAUUCCAUUGUAGAAAAGGAAAAACGAGUCUUAAAUUCUC